UUUCAAGAGGAUCCAGGCCUUCUGUAAAUGGGAUAUAUUCAGCUGUACUUGGCUGUAGACUGAAUAGAAAAAACUGAAGACACGCCCCCUUUGGGCCACUGUCCCCAGUUGUUCGAU